UUCCCCCCAUUUUUCGCCCCUAAAACCGGCCCCCCGCUUAUACUUUUGAUCUUUGUUCAAGACCCACCGCUCUCCCCCGGCGGAGUACAUGCAAAUCGAGCGAAUGGAUUAAGAGAGGGGUAAUAGGAAUUCCCGGCGGACGGGUGAGUAACACGUGGGUAAGCCGGGCCAUAAGAUUGGGAUAACUCCGUGAAACCGGGGCUAAUACCGGAUAACAUCAUGAACCGCAUGGUUCGAAAUUGAAAGGCGGCUUCGGCUGUCACUUAUGGAUGGACCCGCGUCGCAUUAGAUAGGUGGUGAGGUAACGGCUCACCAAGGCAACGAUGCGUAGCCGACCUGAGAGGGUGAUCGGCCACACUGGGACUGAGACACGGCCCAGACUCGUACGGGAGGCAGCAGUAGGGAAUCUUCCGCAAUGGACGAAAGUCUGACGGAGCAACGCCGCGUGAGUGAUGAAGGCUUUCGGGUCGUAAAACUCUGUUGUUAGGGAAGAACAAGUGCUAGUUGAAUAAGCUGGCACCUUGACGGUACCUAACCAGAAAGCCACGGCUAACUACGUGCCAGCAGCCGCGGUAAUACGUAGGUGGCAAGCGUUAUCCGGAAUUAUUGGGCGUAAAGCGCGCGCAGGUGGUUUCUUAAGUCUGAUGUGAAAGCCCACGGCUCAACCGUGGAGGGUCAUUGGAAACUGGGAGACUUGAGUGCAGAAGAGGAAAGUGGAAUUCCAUGUGUAGCGGUGAAAUGCGUAGAGAUAUGGAGGAACACCAGUGGCGAAGGCGACUUUCUGGUCUGUAACUGACACUGAGGCGCGAAAGCGUGGGGAGCAAACAGGAUUAGAUACCCUGGUAGUCCACGCCGUAAACGAUGAGUGCUAAGUGUUAGAGGGUUUCCGCCCUUUAGUGCUGAAGUUAACGCAUUAAGCACUCCGCCUGGGAUUCGCCCCCC
rnacentral:rRNA from 1 species